AGAACCGAUGUGGGACGCAUCAUUUACUUAUCAAGGAAAUAUUCUGGCUUUUUUAUGUUUGGUUUUCGAGAAAAUGUAGUUGGAAGACAAAAGCUUAGACCAAUUAGGUGUAUUAGUUUCAAAUUAUAAAUUAUUACUAUUAUCUUUCUGUACCUAUAUUUUUUCUUUUUAAUUUGUUGCAUGAGUAAAUUUCCCCUUUUUUCUUUAUGUAUUUUCUUGCUCAUAAACAGCCAAU
rnacentral:misc_RNA from 1 species